GUCGGAUUUUGGGCGUAAGCGCGCGCAGGCGGUCCCUUAAGUCUGAUGUGAAAGCCCACGGCUCAACCGUGGAGGGUCAUUGGAAACUGGGGGACUUGAGUGCAGAAGAGGAAAGUGGAAUUCCACGUGUAGCGGUGAAAUGCGUAGAGAUGUGGAGGAACACCAGUGGCGAAGGCGACUUUCUGGUCUGUAACUGACGCUGAGGCGCGAAAGCGUGGGGAGCAAACAGGAUUAGAUACCCUGGUAGUCCACGCCGUAAACGAUGAGUGCUAAGUGUUAGGGGGUUUCCGCCCCUUAGUGCUGCAGCUAACGCAUUAAGCACUCCGCCUGGGGAGUACGGCCGCAAGGCUGAAAUCAGGAAUGGACGGGA
rnacentral:rRNA from 1 species